GCUGGGUGUGGUGGUGUAUACCUGUAAUCCUAGCUGCUGGGGAGGCUGAGACAAGAGGAUUGCAAGUUCAAGGCCAAUCUUGGCAACUGAGACAAACCCUAUCUCAA
rnacentral:sRNA from 1 species